rnacentral:rRNA from 1 species
CCUGGUUGAUCCUGCCAGUAGUCAUAUGCUUGUCUCAAAGAUUAAGCCAUGCAUGUCUAAGUACACGCCCUAGCAAGGCGAAACCGCGAAUGGCUCAUUAAAUCAGUUAUGGUUCCUUAGAUCGUACACAUUUACUUGGAUAACUGUGGUAAUUCUAGAGCUAAUACAUGCAAUUGAGCCCUCGUCCCUUUUAGGGUGAGGGUGCUUUUAUUAGACCAAGACCAAACGGGGGCAACUCCGAUAGUCGUGGUGACUCUGAAUAACUAUGGCGGAUCGCACAGUCCUAGCACUGGCGACGCAUCUUUCAAGUGUCUGCCUUAUCAACUUUCGAUGGUAGGUUAUGCGCCUACCAUGGUUGUUACGGGUAACGGGGAAUCAGGGUUCGAUUCCGGAGAGGGAGCCUGAGAAACGGCUACCACAUCCAAGGAAGGCAGCAGGCGCGCAAAUUACCCACUCCCGGCACGGGGAGGUAGUGACGAAAAAUAACAAUACGGGACUCUAACGAGGCUCCGUAAUUGGAAUGAGUACACUCUAAACCUUUUAACGAGGAUCUAUUGGAGGGCAAGUCUAGUGCCAGCAGCCGCGGUAACUCUAGCUCCAAUAGCGUAUAUUAAAGUUGUUGCGGUUAAAAAGCUCGUAGUUGGAUCUCAGUCGCGCUCCCUUCGAUGCGUUGCAAAGCGUCUAUCGUUGGGGCCGACAGCACGUUGGUGGGCCCGGUUGGCUUUUACCGGUUGAUCGGGUUCUCCGGCAAUUUUACUUUGAAAAAAUUAGGGUGCUCAAAGCAGGCUGGUGCCUGGAUAUUGGUGCAUGGAAUAAUGGAAUAGGACCUCGGUUCUAUUUUGUUGGUUUUCGGAUCCCGAGGUAAUGAUUGAGAGGGACAGACGGGGGCAUUCGUAUUGCGGCGCUAGAGGUGAAAUUCUUGGACCGCUGCAAGACGAACUACUGAGAAAGCAUUUGCCAAGAAUGUUUUCAUUAAUCAAGAACGAAAGUUAGAGGUUCGAAGGCGAUCAGAUACCGCCCUAGUUCUAACCAUAAACGAUGCCACACACACACACACAAAAACGCAGACAUAGUUUUCAAUUUAAAAUUUAAAUUAUAAUUCAAAUAUAAAAAUAACUAAUUAUUUGUUAUUAAAUUUUUAUAUUUUAUAUAUUUUAAAAAUUUAAAAUACUUUUAUUAUACGUUUAAAAAUAUCUUUAACAUACAAAACCUAACUUUUAAACAAUUAGAUCUAAAAUCUAUUUUAGUAAUAAUUUUAGUCGAUAGAUGGCGAUAGGUGUAUACAAUUGUUUAUUUCAUUUAGCGCCGAAUAUAAAUAGAUAAAUUAUAUUUUAAUUCAUAAUAAUAAUAAUUCAAAUUAUUUUAAUAAAGAAAAUAUAAAUUAAAAUUGAAAUAUUUGAAAAUUUCGUUAAGUACCCAUUUGUUAAGUAUAAUGCAAGGUGCAGGGUAUAUAAGAAAACCCGACCACUUGUAAUUUGGGAGCCAGGGUUAGAGACAUCGGGCAAAACAUUGAUCGCUCCGUCUGGCAGAUCUGUUUAGGCUUAGUGUCUCCGCGUACCUGGGUAGGCCUGACCGCUGCCCCGUCGCACGGUCGAGGCAGUCUUCUGUCGGGGAGGGGUCGUCGUUCCCGUCAUGGCAGCUAGGGCUCCCUCUAGUGGCGCUACCCGCGGUAGCUUGCCCUUUUUUUUACAAUUAAUUUCUUUUUUUUUUUACAAAUUAUGGUAAUAUAAUAGCGGUAUAUAAUACUAUAUUGUCGAAAAAAUUAAAUAAACGACUUACCACCAUUUUUUUAAUAUAUAUA